CCUACGGGAGGCAGCAGUGAGGAAUUUUCCGCAAUGGGCUAACGCCUGACGGAGCAAUGCCGCGUGGAGGAGGAAGGCCUGUGGGUCGUAAACUCCUUUUCUCAGAGAAGAAGAUCUGACGGUAUCUGAGGAAUAAGCAUCGGCUAACUCUGUGCCAGCAGCCGCGGUAAUACAGGGGAUGCAAGCGUUAUCCGGAAUUAUUGGGCGUAAAGCGUCCUGAGGUGGCUUACCCAGUCGACUGUGAAAGCUCAAGGCUCAACCUUGAAACGGCAGUCGAAACUUGUAAGCUUGAGUACGGUAGAGGCAGAGGGAAUUCCCGGAGGAGAGGUGAAAUUCGUAGAUAUCGGGAGGAAGGCCUAAAGGCGAAAGCACUCUGCUGGGCCGAUUACUGACACUGACAGACGAAAGCUAGGGGAGCGAAAGGGAUUAGAUACCCCUGUAGUCCUAGCCGUAAACGAUGGAUACUAAGUGUUGCGCGACUCAACUCGUGCAGUGCUGCAGCUAACGCGGUAAGUAUCCCGCCUGGGGAGUAUGCUCGCAAGAGUGAAACUUCAAAGAGUUAGUAGCGNGNGAGAGCGACGACGACGACGAGGAGGAGGAGG
rnacentral:rRNA from 1 species